AACGAACGCUGGCGGCAUGCCUAACACAUGCCAGUCGAACGAGACCUUCGGGUCUAGUGGCGCACGGGUGCGUAACGCGUGGGAACCUGCCCUUAGGUUCGGAAUAACUCCCCGAAAGGGGUGCUAAUACCGGAUAAUGUCUUCGGACCAAAGAUUUAUCGCCUUUGGAUGGGCCCGCGUUGGAUUAGCUAGUUGGUAGGGUAAAAGCCUACCAGGGCGACGAUCCAUAGCUGGUCUGAGAGGAUGAUCAGCCACACUGGGACUGAGACACGGCCCAGACUCCUACGGGAGGCAGCAGUGGGGAAUAUUGGACAAUGGGCGAAAGCCUGAUCCAGCAAUGCCGCGUGAGUGAUGAAGGCCUUAGGGUUGUAAAGCUCUUUUACCCGGGAUGAUAAUGACAGUACCGGGAGAAUAAGCGCCGGCUAACUCCGUG
rnacentral:rRNA from 1 species